GACCUCAUUCAUCAUUUGUUCUUCAUGUGAUCAUCAUUUUACAUUGUUUAUGUUUCAUUGCGUACAUCACUUUAUAUGCUCCAGUUUUAGGAGUUUUAUACAGGACAGUGUAGGAACCCAUGUUACUUUCCCCUCUCUUCUGAGUGACGAAAACUGCUCAGCAGGCCGUGUGCACAACUGCAAGGAACAUUCAGCGGACACGUUGUCCAAAGGAACAAUUCGUGGCUAACCACAGCUUUUUCACCAUUUGGAUUGGUAGUGAAAUAAAAGUCAGCUCCUGAU